UGUCAGUAACACGGGUGGCGGUCAUAUC
rnacentral:sRNA from 1 species